GGGCCGAGAGAGGCUUUUCCGAGAGGUUGGCUCACAGGAGCGUUGUCCUCCGUGAAGAGUUGGUGGAGGGAUGUUUCACAGAGAAGAGGGAUGUUGCUCUGGGGCUGAUGGAAGAGGAGGAGGAGGAAAAAAGCCAUCGCCCCAGGGCUGGAGAAGGAGGUUCCACUGAGGAAGGGUUAGACGAAAGUAGAGCAGUAGGGACUCAGAGAUGCUGCUCCUGAAAGUGAGUGUGGUUGAGCAGGGCCCCAGUGCCGUUUCUCCACACACACAGUGAGGUAGUUGCUAAAAAGUCACCCAUUUCAUGGGGCUGCAUUUCAUCUUAGUUUAAAUCAAGCUCUAAGGCAGGACUGCACUUAUAAACCUAAGUGUACUUUUCAUGCACAUAAACAUUUAGUUCCUCCUGUUACGAUCUCCUGUGUCUUUUUCUUCUUGCCUUAGCCUCAGUUUUUAUGUUCUUACCAACAUGAUAUGAAAGCUACAGCACUUACUUGCUAAAUGUUGUGCAAUAAGUCUAUAUUUUGGAAUCUCUCACUGCAAUCACAGCUUCUGAUUGCUACAGAAUAAGGUGUGGAAAAGACAUUGACAUGACUGAACUGAAGAGGAAAGGCCAGGAGAGAUUGUAAUAUAAAGCCAGCAUGACUGGUCUGAAAAUCCUGUUAGCAAUGAGGAAGAAGUGUUUGGCAUUACUCUGCUGAGGAGAGUGGACUUUCAUACCUUCAUGCCUCACUGAAAUUGAGGCUUAAGGGCACAUGGCCUGCCAGAAUGGGACAAGAGAGUAGCUGCCACUGAGAAAUAACCAGUGUAGGUUUGAAUCCUAAAGUUGUAUAGAUCUGAGGAAGUCCCAUCCCAUCUGCUGUACAGGACAACUAAGCAAAAUGAUAAAAACAGGGCAUCUAUUAUGUGUGAAAUGUUUGUAAUGAUAUGUACAAGGGUAGUUAGAGGAAACUAUUGUUGUAUUUAGAAAAAAUAUUAAUUCUUGAAAAAAUAAAGUAGCAUUUAAAAAUAUUAA